rnacentral:rRNA from 1 species
AUUGAACGCUGGCGGCAUGCCUUACACAUGCAAGUCGAACGGCAGCGCGGACUUCGGUCUGGCGGCGAGUGGCGAACGGGUGAGUAAUACAUCGGUACGUACCCUGUUGUGGGGGAUAACUAGUCGAAAGAUUAGCUAAUACCGCAUACGACCUGAGGGUGAAAGUGGGGGACCGCAAGGCCUAACGCAGCAGGAGCGGCCGAUGUCUGAUUAGCUAGUUGGUGGGGUAAAGGCCCACCAAGGCGACGAUCAGUAGCUGGUCUGAGAGGACGAGCAGCCACACUGGGACUGAGACACGGCCCAGACUCCUACGGGAGGCAGCAGUGGGGAAUUUUGGACAAUGGGGGCAACCCUGAUCCAGCAAUGCCGCGUGUGUGAAGAAGGCCUUCGGGUUGUAAAGCACUUUUGUCCGGAAAGAAAUCGCGCUGGUUAAUACCUGGCGUGGAUGACGGUACCGGAGGAAUAAGCACCGGCUAACUACGUGCCAGCCGCCGCCGUAA